rnacentral:rRNA from 1 species
UACGUAGGGGGCGAGCGUUGUCCGGAUUUAUUGGGCGUAAAGAGCUCGUAGGCGGUUUGGCAAGUCGGGUGUGAAAACUCCGGCUCAACUCGGAGACGCCACUCGAUACUGCCAUGACUCGAGUCCGGUAGGGGAGUGGCGGAAUUCCUGGUGUAGCGGUGAAAUGCGCAGAUAUCAGGAGGAACACCGGUGGCGAAGGCGGCACUCUGGGCCGGUACUGACGCUGAGGAGCGAAAGCGUGGGGAGCAAACAGG